rnacentral:rRNA from 1 species
UACAGAGGUCCCAAGCGUUUGUUCGGAUUCAUUGGGCGUAAAGGUGCGUAGGCGGCGCGGUAAGUCGGGUGUGAAAUCUCGGAGCUUAACUCCGAAACUGCAUUCGAUACUGCCGUGCUUGAGGACUGGAGAGGAGACUGGAAUUUACGGUGUAGCGGUGAAAUGCGCAGAUAUCGGGAAGAACACCCGUGGCGAAGGCGGCUCUCUAGGACGGUACUGACACUGAGACGCGAAAGCGUGGGGAGCGAACAGG